AUGGGCAACGACGCCGGCGGCUCGCUAGAACAGAACCAGCCGGUGUGCGUGACAGGAGCAACCGUCUACGUCGGCUUGUGGCUCGUCCGCACACUGCUCCGACGAGGUCACCGUAUCCACGGCGCGGCGAGGGACCCUAGUAUAGAGAUGUGCCACCUAUUAGUUCUUCGCAGAUUGAUGAUGAAAAUCAAUAAAUGGUGGAAAUGUGCAACACCUGAUUACGACAAAAUAAGAGAAAGCAAUUUUGAGUUCUAA
rnacentral:rRNA from 1 species